rnacentral:rRNA from 1 species
AUUGAACGCUGGCGGCAUGCCUUACACAUGCAAGUCGAACGGCAGCACGGGAGCAAUCCUGGUGGCGAGUGGCGAACGGGUGAGUAAUACAUCGGAACGUGCCCAGUAGUGGGGGAUAACCCGGCGAAAGCCGGACUAAUACCGCAUACGACCUACGGGUGAAAGCAGGGGAUCGCAAGACCUUGCGCUAUCGGAGCGGCCGAUGUCAGAUUAGCUUGUUGGCGGGGAAAAGCCCACCAAGGCGACGAUCUGUAGCCGGUCUGAGAGGACGACCAGCCACACUGGGACUGAGACACGGCCCAGACUCCUACGGGAGGCAGCAGUGGGGAAUUUUGGACAAUGGGCGCAAGCCUGAUCCAGCCAUGCCGCGUGC